rnacentral:lncRNA from 1 species
CUAAUGCCGCCAUCGUCUGCCUUCAGCCACCAUCAUGAUUUAUCUACUGGGACCUCAUCAGCCAUGAUGAGAUGUUCUCCCACAUUUACAAAAUCCGGGAGACUGCGGAUGGGCUGUGCCUGGAGGUGGAGGGGAAAUUGGUAAGUAGGACAGAGGGUAACAUUGAUGACUUGCUCAUUGGUGGAAAUGCCUCCGCUGAAGGCACUGAAAGCGAAGGUACCAAAAGCACAGUAAUCACUGGUAUCCUUACUGUCAUGAACCAUCACCUGCAGGAAACAAGCUUCACAAAAGAAGCCUACAAGAAGUAUAAUACACCAAAGAUUACAUGAAAUCAACCAAAGGCAAACUUGAAGAACAGAGACCAGAAAGAGUAAAACCUUUUAUGACAGGGGCUGCAGAACAAAUCAAACACAUCCUUGCUAAUUUCAAAAGCUACCACUUCUUUAUUGGUGAAAACAUGAAUCCAGAUGGCAUGGUUGCUCCACAGGACUACCGUGAGGUUGGUGUAACCCAUGUGGGAUUUCCUUUAAGGAUGGCUUAGAAAUGGAAAAAAAAUUAACAAAUUUGGCAAUGACUGGAUCUAUUACCUGUCAUCAUAACUGGCUUCUGCUUGUCAGCCACACAACACCAGGACUUAAGACAAAUGGGACUGAUGUCAUCUUGAGCUCUUCAUUUAUUUUGACCAUGAUUUAUUUGGAGUGGAGGCAUUGUUUUUAAGAAAAACAUGUCAAUUCAGAAAUCU